AUUUCAAUAUGUUUGAUCGGGGAAGCCAUCUAUACCUAUACAUUAUACCUUUUAAAUUUGUCACAUGACAACAUGUUCGUCAUUGUUGAGUGUGGGCUCUAACUAGAAUCGGCUCAGAUUCUCUAUAUAUUUUUUUCUUUCUUUGCUUGAAUUGGACCGAAUUUUUUUUUUCUUUACUUAAACCAAAUUGAUUAUUGUCAAGUGUGGGCUCUCCCGAACAACCUCAAAUCUUCUACAUGUUUUUCUUUUUCUUUGCUUGAAAUGAACCUGAUUUUUUUCUUUCUUUAUUUGAAUUGAACUAGGUCAACCUCUUUUUUUUGGCUUGAACCGAACCGGGUCACAUCUCUGCAUUAUAAGCCGAAUUGUUCUUCUUUCUCUUUCUUCAGUUUUCUUCAUCGGCAAAAUAAAUUUCACCCUUUAUCGUUGUUUCUUUCAUUACCGUUUACUCUUCGUUUAUCAUCGUUUUUUUAUUUUAACUGUAAUUUUCUAUCCGUCGCAUCGCACGAGGCACUGUAGUAAUCUUUGC
rnacentral:lncRNA from 1 species